GACGAACGCUGGCGGCGUGCUUAACACAUGCAGGUCGAACGGAAAGGCCCUGCUUUUGUGGGGUGCUCGAGUGGCGAACGGGUGAGUAACACGUGAGUAACCUGCCCUUGACUUUGGGAUAACCUCAGGAAACUGGGGCUAAUACCGGAUAGGAGCUCCUGCUGCAUGGUGGGGGUUGGAAAGUUUCGGCGGUUGGGGAUGGACUCGCGGCUUCUCAGCUUGUUGGUGGGGUAGUGGCUUACCAAGGCUUUGACGGGUAGCCGGCCUGAGAGGGGGACCGGGGUCAAUGGGCCUACGGGAGGCCCCAGAAGCGUACCGUCGGCAGCGGGGGGGAACAUGACAGAACGAGCGGGAGCGAGAUGUGGCAGCGCUGGGAGCGGAAUACCGGCCUUCUGGUUGUGAACCGCUUUGGCCGGUGCCAAGGAGUUAUUGACGGUAAUGGGUAAGGAAGCACCGGCUAACUACGUG
rnacentral:rRNA from 1 species